AUUUUCUUUUGGUUUCUAUUGCUUUUUAUUUAUAGAUGUAUAACCACCUCUCCAUUUUCAUCAGUUGUUUGAUUUAUUUUUAAAUUUCUAUUUUGUUUUGACACAACAGAUUCCUUUAAAUAUCUAUCAUAAAACAAUUCUGUUAAGGAGCCUUUUAUCUCUAGGUGGUACCAGCCAUGAUUAAAGUGAAAGGAACAUCUUGAUAUAUUUGAUGAAAAUUACUAAACCAGCGGUUUUUUUCUUUUUUUGGGGGGUGAGUACUGGGAAUUGAACUUAGGCAUUUGACCAUAUCCCCAGCCCUGUUUUGUAUUUUAUUUAGAGACAUGGUCUCAACUGAGUUGCUUAGCACCUUGCUUUUGUGGAGGCUGGCUUUGAACUCUCCAUCCUCCUGCCUCAGUCUCUCGAGUCGCUGAGAUUACAGGUGUGUGCCACCAUGCCUAGCUCUAAACUAGUCUUUUAAACUUGUUUAGCACCCUUAACUAUUGGAGUGUCUAUAAUCUGAUCACUGAACUUAAAUUAAGGUUUACAAGUAUAUAUUACCAUGGUUUCAAUUGUUUUUGUGUAGAUCCUUUCUUUUUAUUUCCUCUCAGAAUUACCAGAGUUCAAUAAUCAGUAGACUCUCUUUGGGGCUAGGGGAGUAGAUCAGAGGUAGAGCUCAUACUUAGCAUGCAUGAGGCCCUGGAUUCAAAUUCCAGCACCAACAAAUAAACAAAUGAGUUAAAUAGUAUACCUUUCUUUUUUUAAGGUCUUUCUUAAAAAAUAUUUUUAGUUGUAAAGGGACACAAUACCUUUAUUUUAUUUACUUACUUUUUAUUUAGUACUGAGGUUCGAACCCAGUGCCUCACACAUGCUGGGCAAGUACACUACCACUGAGCUAUAAGUAUAAUUCCAGCCCUAUUUUAGUAAUCUUAAAUGACCCAAAUUGUCUGUUUGACAAUUGACAAAGUUAUGCAAUCAUAUGAGAUCAUGAGUCACUGGUUUUUAGAUUUUUUUAGAAGAAAAUUUAACCAUUAUGUUUAGAUAAGUUUAUGUCACCAUUAUUCAUUAGAUUUUAAAUUGACAUGUUUCCCAGAACUUGGGUGCUUUUCAAAGUUUCACAUGAUCACCAGUAGUAAUAACUUUCUCAUUGGAUAUGUUAAGCUAUGUUUUCUGUAACUAUUUCUUUAUGAGUGUUUUAUACAUGUUUUUGUACAUGUAGUUGGUGGCUAGUUUAUGUCCUACACAGUAAAAAAAUGAGUCUGUGAUGUUAACUUUGGUAUUAGGGUAAUUUUCUACUUUGUAUCUUUGAAAAGAGUGAACACUAUUUAUUGAAUUACUGUGUGACCACCACUACUGAUUUACUCUUGGAUUUUAUUCUUCGUGGUCAUUCUGAGUUAAUAUCCAGGCUGCUUAAUUUUCUUGGGCAUAGUACUCUAGGACUACUUGUCAUGUAUUCCUUUGUGUAUGUGUUUUUCCUUUCCAAUUUAAGGAAAUGAAAGCAAUGAGCUAUAUAAACUGUAUAUAGACAUAAAAUUGAUGGUAGAAACAAAAUAGCCAUUAAAUUUCUUGGCAUUUAAUUUUUGAAGUCCCUCUUGAAUAAAUGACAAAUUAAUGAGUGAAAUGUAUCCUUGUUGUGUUUCCCUUAUUUUUUAAUUAUAGC
rnacentral:lncRNA from 1 species